UCAAAAUAAAUAAAUAAAUAAAUAAAUAAAUAAAUAAAUAAAUAAAUAAAAUCUUAAAAAACAGUAGAAAGUACGUGGAGUCUGGCUCCAUUUAUUUAAAAUUCUCAAAAAAUGAAAACUAACCUGAAAGAACAGCAGGUUACCGUUGCCAAGGGGCGCAAGGACGGCUUGUGGGUGAUGAAGGAGUUCGUUGCCUGGAUUGCGGUGUUGGUUUCAUUGAUGUGCCCUGAUGUCAAAACUCAUCGAAUUAUACGCUUUGGAGACUGUCGCACACCAGUAAAGCUGGAAGAGAAGGGAUGUGCACAUACAAGGAAAAGCAACUUUUGAUCACUUUGCUGUGUGCCAAACCCCGACAAGAUGGUGAGGACGCACGGGAAAAUAACGGACUCUCUUCGGCAACUCCCAGUCUUGAAGCGGAGCGAUUUAAAGACACGAUGAGCGGGCGCCUCCAGACGGGAAUGUGAAAGUCCAGCUCGUUCUGGUUCCUGCACCCGUUGCGCAUGUGCACGGGGGAGUUACUCACCCGCUUUAUGCCUUGUUUCACUCUCCUAUCAAAUGGCCGUAAUAAUAUCUUACGCAGGAUGCUGUCCCGAGAACGGGCUAGGUAUAUGGCUCGCCGGAGGCGGUGCUCUCAUCCCGAAGAAUUCAGGGAGGGCUGGAGAGAGAAAGGGGCUUGUGGGCGGAGCCCCAGAGAAUGAACCGGACUUUGUUGGGUGGACAAGAGUGACCUUCAUCUGGAGAGAAGAGCGUGGGCAGCUCGAAGCCAACGCUGCCUGAACACAAGCGAGGCGCCGUCACAGGAGAUACUGAUAUGAACCAGCCCUCGUGGAGCCAGCACCCUGAGGGACAACCAGAUGACAGACCGUUCCAUGGCCACGGGCCCCAGAAGGAAAGGAAGCAGGGCUCGGGGUGGAGCCCUGGGAGGAGCCACUGGUUGGGAACGAACGUUACCUAUAAAGAAGCGUCAUCAGAUAAGCCAAAAGCAGAGGUUGGCACGUUGUCACACACCACUUUCUGCUGCGG